UAUAUUUAGUUUGUGAGACGGUGA
rnacentral:siRNA from 1 species